rnacentral:tRNA from 1 species
AAGUUUAGGUUAAACAAACCAGGAGCCUUCAAAGCCCCAAACAAGAACAAACUAAAUAUCUUAACUUCU